UGCUCUGGUGGCCUAGUGGUUAAAGUGUCCGCCUCAGAUGCGUGAGGUCAUAAGUUCGAUCCCUGGUCGAGUCU